ACUCCUACGGGAGGCAGCAGUGGGGAAUAUUGCACAAUGGGCGCAAGCCUGAUGCAGCCAUGCCGCGUGUAUGAAGAAGGCCUUCGGGUUGUAAAGUACUUUCAGCGGGGAGGAAGGCGAUAAGGUUAAUAACCUUGUUGAUUGACGUUACCCGCAGAAGAAGCACCGGCUAACUCCGUGCCAGCAGCCGCGGUAAUACGGAGGGUGCAAGCGUUAAUCGGAAUUACUGGGCGUAAAGCGCACGCAGGCGGUCUGUCAAGUCGGAUGUGAAAUCCCCGGGCUCAACCUGGGAACUGCAUUCGAAACUGGCAGGCUAGAGUCUUGUAGAGGGGGGUAGAAUUCCAGGUGUAGCGGUGAAAUGCGUAGAGAUCUGGAGGAAUACCGGUGGCGAAGGCGGCCCCCUGGACAAAGACUGACGCUCAGGUGCGAAAGCGUGGGGAGCAAACAGGAUUAGAUACCCUAGUAGUCCCAUGAU
rnacentral:rRNA from 1 species